rnacentral:rRNA from 1 species
UACGUAGGGGGCAAGCGUUGUCCGGAAUCAUUGGGCGUAAAGAGCGUGUAGGCGGCCUGAUAAGUCGGCUGUGAAAGUCAAGGGCUCAACCCUUGAAUGCCGGCCGAUACUGUCAGGCUAGAGUCCGGAAGAGGCGAGUGGAAUUCCUGGUGUAGCGGUGAAAUGCGCAGAUAUCAGGAGGAACACCUAUGGCGAAGGCAGCUCGCUGGGACGGUACUGACGCUGAGACACGAAAGCGUGGGUAGCAAACAGG